rnacentral:rRNA from 1 species
GUGGGGAAUAUUGGACAAUGGGCGCAAGCCUGAUCCAGCCAUGCCGCGUGUGUGAAGAAGGCCUUCGGGUUGUAAAGCACUUUCAGCGAGGAGGAAGGGAUGUAUGUUAAUAGCAUGCAUUUUUGACGUUACUCGCAGAAGAAGCACCGGCUAACUCUGUGCCAGCAGCCGCGGUAAUACAGAGGGUGCAAGCGUUAAUCGGAAUUACUGGGCGUAAAGCGCACGUAGGCGGUUUUUUAAGUCAGAUGUGAAAGCCCCGGGCUCAACCUGGGAAUUGCAUUUGAAACUGGGGAACUAGAGUGUGUGAGAGGGGGGUAGAAUUCCAAGUGUAGCGGUGAAAUGCGUAGAGAUUUGGAGGAAUACCAGUGGCGAAGGCGGCCCCCUGGCACAACACUGACGCUCAGGUGCGAAAGCGUGGGGAGCAAACAGGAUUAGAAACCCUUGUAGUCC